AGUGAACGCUGGCGGUAGGCCUAACACAUGCAAGUCGAACGGCAGCACAGUAAGAGCUUGCUCUUACGGGUGGCGAGUGGCGGACGGGUGAGGAAUACAUCGGAAUCUACUUUUUCGUGGGGGAUAACGUAGGGAAACUUACGCUAAUACCGCAUACGACCUACGGGUGAAAGCAGGGGAUCUUCGGACCUUGCGCGAUUGAAUGAGCCGAUGUCGGAUUAGCUAGUUGGCGGGGUAAAGGCCCACCAAGGCGACGAUCCGUCGCUGGUCUGAGAGGAUGAUCAGCCACACUGGAACUGAGACACGGUCCAGACCCCUACGGGAGGCAGCAGUGGGGAAUAUUGGACAAUGGGCGCAAGCCUGAUCCAGCCAUACCGCGUGGGUGAAGAGGGCCUUCGGGUUGUAAAGCCCUUUUGUUGGGAAAGAAAAGCAGCAGGUUAAUACCCCGCUGUUCUGACGGUACCCAAAGAAUAAGCACCGGCUAACUUCGUG
rnacentral:rRNA from 1 species